GCAGCGAUGUCCGAGUGGUUAAGGAGUUUGACUCGAAAUCAAAUGAGCUCUGCCCGCGCAGGUUCGAAUCCUGCUCGCUGCG
rnacentral:tRNA from 1 species